rnacentral:rRNA from 1 species
UCUAUUGAUUUUAUUUACUUUUUAUUUUUAGGUUCAUGUGCCUUUUGCAUCAGGCUUAGUAGAUUAUUAUGAUUACUUCAUGUGACCGAAAAGCCCAGAUCUCUUAAAGUGUUGUUUUGUGUAAACUCGGGUAGAGGUUUUUCAAACACUUUAGGUGAGGUGAUAAAUUAAUCGUUGGGUUUUAUAACUGUUUAAUAGUGUUUAAUUUUUAUCUGUCUGGUGAUGAGAUCAGAUAGAAUAAUAUACCUAUUUUUAUUUGAAAAGAUAAAAGGGUUAAAAUUACCCAUUUCUAGUGAUAAUGUUACAAUUCUUAUUGGUUUUGAUCUUCAGGUUAUGUUUAUGCGCUAUUUUUUGCAAUUUUUAGUUUAUAUCAAUUACUAAAUAAGUAAUUUAAAUAUGUUUGGUUGUUUCUCAAAGCUUGUCCGUCUGUUUAUCAAAAACAUUUCUAUAGUUUAUUUUCUAUAGUAGUACCUGCUCUAUGCUUAUUGUAAAUGGCCGCAGUAUCUUGACUGUGCGAAGGUAGCAUAAUUAAUUGCCCUAUAAUUGAGGGCUUGUUUGAAUGGUUUGACGUGAUAUACUAAAACAUCCAGUAUCUUUUUGAAAUUAAUGUUGAGGGCACAGAAUCCUCAAAAUUUAAUUAGACGGAAAGACCCCGGGAUCUUUGUUUUUUGCCUGGGGCAGGUAAGUAUGUUUCAUGUUUAUUAAGACCCUUAUGGUCUAUUGGGAUAAGUUACCCCGGGGAUAACAGUGUAAUGAGUUAUUAGAGAUCUUAUCGAAUAAUUUGUUUGCCACCUCGAUGUUGACUUAGGUGUUUAGCUAUGGCGCAGUAGUUUUAGUUUUAGGUCUGUUCGACCCUUUUCACCUCCAUGAGUUGAGUUAAGACCGGCGUGAGCCAGGUCGGUUCUUAUCUAUUAUUCUAGCUUACUAGUACGAAAGGAUCGUAAGUUGUUUUAUU